UACAGAGGUCUCAAGCGUUGUUCGGAUUCAUUGGGCGUAGAGGGCGCGUAGGCGGCGGGGUAAGUCGGGUGUGAAAUCUCAGAGCUCAACUCUGAAACUGCACUCGAUACUGCUCUGCUUGAGGACUGGAGAGGAGACUGGAAUUCACGGUGUAGCAGUGAAAUGCGUAGAUAUCGUGAGGAAGACCAGUGGCGAAGGCGGGUCUCUGGACAGUUCCUGACGCUGAGGCGCGAAGGCCAGGGGAGCAAACGGG
rnacentral:rRNA from 1 species